ACGGGUGAGUAACACGUAGCUAAUCUACCUCAAAGCGCGGAAUAACGUGUCGAAAGACAGGCUAGUACCGCAUAAGCUCGCGAUCUGUAGAGGGUUGCGAGAAAAGGCGCAAGUCACUUUGAGAUGAGGCUGCGGCCCAUCAGCUAGUUGGGGUGGUAAAAGCACACCAAGGCGACGACGGGUAGGGGACCUGAGAGGGUGACCCCCCACACUGGGACUGAGACACGGCCCAGACUCCUACGGGAGGCAGCAGUGAGGAAUAUUGCACAAUGGGCGCAAGCCUGAUGCAGCGACGCCGCGUGGGUGAAGAAGGUUUUCGGAUCGUAAAACCCUUUUCUGUGUGACGAGUAAGGACGGUAGCACAGGAAUAAGCCUCGGCUAACUACGUGCCAGCAGCCGCGGUAAAACGUAGGAGACAAACGUUAUCCGGAGUUACUGGGCGUAAAGGGCGUGUAGGUGGUUUCGUAAGUCUGGCGUGAAAUUUUUCGGCUUAACCGGGAAAGGUCGUCGGAUACUGCGGGACUAGAGGACGGUAGAGGCGUGUGGAAUUCCGGGUGUAGUGGUGAAAUGCGUAGA
rnacentral:rRNA from 1 species